rnacentral:rRNA from 1 species
UUAAGCGACUAAGCGUACACGGUGGAUGCCCUGGCAGUCAGAGGCGAUGAAGGACGUGCUAAUCUGCGAUAAGCGUCGGUAAGGUGAUAUGAACCGUUAUAACCGGCGAUUUCCGAAUGGGGAAACCCAGUGUGUUUCGACACACUAUCAUUAACUGAAUCCAUAGGUUAAUGAGGCGAACCGGGGGAACUGAAACAUCUAAGUACCCCGAGGAAAAGAAAUCAACCGAGAUUCCCCCAGUAGCGGCGAGCGAACGGGGAGGAGCCCAGAGCCUGAAUCAGUGUGUGUGUUAGUGGAAGCGUCUGGAAAGGCGCGCGAUACAGGGUGACAGCCCCGUACACAAAAAUGCACAUGCUGUGAGCUCGAUGAGUAGGGCGGGACACGUGGUAUCCUGUCUGAAUAUGGGGGGACCAUCCUCCAAGGCUAAAUACUCCUGACUGACCGAUAGUGAACCAGUACCGUGAGGGAAAGGCGAAAAGAACCCCGGCGAGGGGAGUGAAAAAGAACCUGAAACCGUGUACGUACAAGCAGUGGGAGCACAGAGCAAUCUGUGUGACUGCGUACCUUUUGUAUAAUGGGUCAGCGACUUAUAUUCUGUAGCAAGGUUAACCGAAUAGGGGAGCCGAAGGGAAACCGAGUCUUAACUGGGCGUUAAGUUGCAGGGUAUAGACCCGAAACCCGGUGAUCUAGCCAUGGGCAGGUUGAAGGUUGGGUAACACUAACUGGAGGACCGAACCGACUAAUGUUGAAAAAUUAGCGGAUGACUUGUGGCUGGGGGUGAAAGGCCAAUCAAACCGGGAGAUAGCUGGUUCUCCCCGAAAGCUAUUUAGGUAGCGCCUCGUGAAUUCAUCUCCGGGGGUAGAGCACUGUUUCGGCAAGGGGGUCAUCCCGACUUACCAACCCGAUGCAAACUGCGAAUACCGGAGAAUGUUAUCACGGGAGACACACGGCGGGUGCUAACGUCCGUCGUGAAGAGGGAAACAACCCAGACCGCCAGCUAAGGUCCCAAAGU